rnacentral:rRNA from 1 species
AGAGUUUGAUCCUGGCUCAGAAUCAACGCUGGCGGCGUGCCUAACACAUGCAAGUCGAACGCGAAGACCCCGCAAGGGGUUUGUAGCGUGGCAAACGGGUGAGUAACGCGUGGGUGACCUGCCUUCGAGUGGGGGAUAACGUUCCGAAAGGGACGCUAAUACCGCAUGACAUCCCGUCAUUGAAGAGACGGUGAUCAAAG